rnacentral:rRNA from 1 species
GACGAACGCUGGCGGUGUGCUUAACACAUGCAAGUCGAACGGAAAGGCCCUGCUUUUGUGGGGUGCUCGAGUGGCGAACGGGUGAGUAACAGGUGUGUAACCUGACCUUGACUUUGGGGUAGCUUCAGGAAACUGGGGCUAAUACCGUAUAGGAGCUCCUGCUGCAGGGUGGGGGGUGGAAAGUUUCGGCGGGUGGGGAUGGACUCGCGGCUUAUCGGCUUGUUGGUGGGGUAGUGGCUUACCAAGGCAUUGGCGGGUAGCCGGCCGGUGUGGGUGACCGGCCACAUUGGGACUGAGGUGAGGCCCAGACGCCUACUGGAGGCAGCAGUGGGGAAGCUUGCACAAUCGGUGGCACCCUGAUGCAGCAACGCCUCGUGCGGGAUGGCGGCCUUCGGGGUGUAAACCGCUUUCGCCUGUGACGAAGCGUGAGUUACGGUAAUGGGUAAAGAAGCACCGGCUAACUACGUG